UACGUAGGGUGCAAGCGUUGUCCGGAAUUAUUGGGCGUAAAGAGCUCGUAGGCGGUUUGUUGCGUCGGCUGUGAAAUCCCGAGGCUCAACCUCGGGUCUGCAGUCGAUACGAGCAAACUAGAGUGUUGCAGGGGAGACUGGAAUUCCUGGUGUAGCGGUGAAAUGCGCAGAUAUCAGGAGGAACACCGAUGGCGAAGGCAGGUCUCUGGGCUGACACUGACGCUCAUGCACGAAAGCGUGGGAAGCAAACAGG
rnacentral:rRNA from 1 species